UAACAAAAACCGUAAAAAUGCUGAAGCAAAUAGUACAUGUAUCGUCCCUGUCCCGCCGCAAAAGUCAGUCAUCAGUUGAAGUAAAGUGCUCUGUUUCUGAACAUCGGAAACCGUCUACGUGUCGCCGGAGAAUCUCACCCUUGUUGCUUCCUUGAUUGGAUUUCGCCGCAUCCUACGUCAACCCGACCAGAAUCUAGUGGGGCCUAGGUGGAAAGGAAAGGGCUUCAAAGCUAAAGCCUAUGUCAAAGAUAGUACUGAAGCUUCAGUUUUCUCUAAAUCAAUCAAAUUGUGAAGCUUUGCUAUGUGGGUGUAGUGUGCUUAUUGCUUAACCGUUCGUGCUUUGGUGAAGCCAUGGUUACAGCUUAGAAGGAUAAGCAAUGGUUGAGGUGAGUUUGGAGGAGGCCUUUUAACUCGGCUUUGUGGAGGUGUGGCAAAGACAUUACUGGUUCUUGAUGUCAGCAGAAAUAGUCGUUGUGCAGACUCUCCAUUGUGGUUGGAGAGUUAUACUGUCAAGGAGCGCAAGAUCACAAGAUGGAAUCCAGAACAGUGCCGCGAAGAUCAUACAAUGGUUGAAAGUGAAAAUGGAGUCAAGGAAGAGAUUUAGUAUUUUUUCAUUUGCUCCAACCAAAUCAGAGGUAUGCCUUCCUAAUUGGAUAGAAUGAGCAACUAUUUAUUUGUAUCAAAAGAAUUUGGCACUGAUGUGUGUAUUAUACUAAAUAUAUUGCUCAUCAAGUUUUAAUCACAA